GAACGGGCCAACGAGUUACGUUAAGUAGCAAGGUAAGCACUAAGGUGUGGAGCCGUAGCGAAAGCGAGUUUUAACUGAGCGUUCAGUUACUUGACGUAGACCCGGAACCGGGCGACCUGCCCAUGAGCAGGAUGAAGCGAAAGUAAAAUUUCAUGGAGGUCCGAACCCACGAGCGUUGUAAGGCUCGGGGAUGACUGACGGGAGGCGGUGAAGUUCCGAUCGAGACCGGAGAUAGCUGGUUCUCCCCGAAAUAGCUUUAGGGCUAGCCUCAAGGUGGGAGAUACGGAGAUAGAGCACUGAAUGUACUAGGGGGUAUUGCACCUACCGAAGACUAUCAAACUCCGAAUGCCGU
rnacentral:rRNA from 1 species